CACUCCUACGGGAGGCAGCAGUGGGGAAUAUUGGACAAUGGGCGCAAGCCUGAUCCAGCCAUGCCGCGUGAGUGAUGAAGGCCCUAGGGUUGUAAAGCUCUUUCACCGGUGAAGAUAAUGACGGUAACCGGAGAAGAAGCCCCGGCUAACUUCGUGCCAGCAGCCGCGGUAAUACGAAGGGGGCUAGCGUUGUUCGGAUUUACUGGGCGUAAAGCGCACGUAGGCGGACUAUUAAGUCAGGGGUGAAAUCCCGGGGCUCAACCCCGGAACUGCCUUUGAUACUGGUAGUCUUGAGUUCGAGAGAGGUGAGUGGAAUUCCGAGUGUAGAGGUGAAAUUCGUAGAUAUUCGGAGGAACACCAGUGGCGAAGGCGGCUCACUGGCUCGAUACUGACGCUGAGGUGCGAAAGCGUGGGGAGCAAACAGGAUUAGAAGCCCUAGUAGUCC
rnacentral:rRNA from 1 species